AUUGAACGCUGGCGGCAGGCCUAACACAUGCAAGUCGAGCGAGCGGCGGACGGGUGAGUAAUGUCUGGGAAACUGCCUGAUGGAGGGGGAUAACAACUGGAAACGGUAGCUAAUACCGCAUACCAUCAGAUGUGCCCAGAUGGGAUUAGCUAGUGGGUGGGGUAACGGCUCACCUAGGCGACGAUCCCUAGCUGGUCUGAGAGGAUGACCAGCCACACUGGAAUGGGGACAACGUCCAGAAUCCCACGGGAGGACACAGUGGGGAAUAUUGAAAAAUGGGGGGAAGCCUGAUGCAGCCAAGCCGGGGGUGUUAAGAAGGGCUUCGGGUUGUAAAGGAAUUUCAGCGGGGAGGCCUUAACCGCAGAAGAAGCACCGGCUAAAUCCGUGGCAGCACCCGCGGUAAUUC
rnacentral:rRNA from 1 species